AGUGAACGCUGGCGGUAGGCCUAACACAUGCAAGUCGAACGGCAGCACAGUAAGAGCUUGCUCUUACGGGUGGCGAGUGGCGGACGGGUGAGGAAUACAUCGGAAUCUACUUUUUCGUGGGGGAUAACGUAGGGAAACUUACGCUAAUACCGCAUACGACCUACGGGUGAAAGCAGGGGAUCUUCGGACCUUGCGCGAUUGAAUGAGCCGAUGUCGGAUUAGCUAGUUGGCGGGGUAAAGGCCCACCAAGGCGACGAUCCGUAGCUGGUCUGAGAGGAUGAUCAGCCACACUGGCACUGAGGCACGGUCCAGACUCCUACGGGGGGCAGCAGUGGGGAAUAUUGGACAAUGGGCGCAAGCCGGAUCCAGCCAUACCGCGUGGAUGAAGAAGGCCUUCGGGUUGGAAAGCCCUUUUGUUGGGAAAGAAAAGCAGCAGGUUAAUACCCCGCUGUUCUGACGGUACCCAAAGAAUAAGCACCGGCUAACUUCGUG
rnacentral:rRNA from 1 species